rnacentral:rRNA from 1 species
UAUUGCACAAUGGGCGAAAGCCUGAUGCAGCAACGCCGCGUGAGGGAUGACGGCCUUCGGGUUGUAAACCUCUUUUAGCAGGGAAGAAGCGAAAGUGACGGUACCUGCAGAAAAAGCGCCGGCUAACUACGUGCCAGCAGCCGCGGUAAUACGUAGGGCGCAAGCGUUAUCCGGAAUUAUUGGGCGUAAAGAGCUCGUAGGCGGUUUGUCGCGUCUGCUGUGAAAUCCCGAGGCUCAACCUCGGGCCUGCAGUGGGUACGGGCAGACUAGAGUGCGGUAGGGGAGAUUGGAAUUCCUGGUGUAGCGGUGGAAUGCGCAGAUAUCAGGAGGAACACCGAUGGCGAAGGCAGAUCUCUGGGCCGUAACUGACGCUGAGGAGCGAAAGGGUGGGGAGCAAACAGGCUUAGAUACCCUGGUAGUCCACCCCGUAAACGUUGGGAACUAGUUGUGGGGUCCAUUCCACGGAUUCCGUGACGCAGCUAACGCAUUAAGUUCCCCGCCUGGGGAGUACGGCCGCAAGGCUAAAACUCAAAGGAAUUGACGGGGACCCGCACAAGCGGCGGAGCAUGCGGAUUAAUUCGAUGCAACGCGAAGAACCUUACCAAGGCUUGACAUAUACGAGAACGGGCCAGAAAUGGUCAACUCUUUGGACACUCGUAAACAGGUGGUGCAUGGUUGUCGUCAGCUCGUGUCGUGAGAUGUUGGGUUAAGUCCCGCAACGAGCGCAACCCUCGUUCUAUGUUGCCAGCACGUAAUGGUGGGAACUCAUGGGAUACUGCCGGGGUCAACUCGGAGGAAGGUGGGGAUGACGUCAAAUCAUCAUGCCCCUUAUGUCUUGGGCUUCACGCAUGCUACAAUGGCCGGUACAAAGGGCUGCAAUACCGUGAGGUGGAGCGAAUCCCAAAAAGCCGGUCCCAGUUCGGAUUGAGGUCUGCAACUCGACCUCAUGAAGUCGGAGUCGCUAGUAAUCGCAGAUCAGCAACGCUGCGGUGAAUACGUUCCCGGGUCUUGUACACACCGCCCGUCAAGUCAUGAAAGUCGGUAACACCUGAAGCCGGUGGCCUAACCCUUGUGGAGGGAGCUGUCGAAGGUG